rnacentral:rRNA from 1 species
UUAAGCGACUAAGCGUACACGGUGGAUGCCCUGGCAGUCAGAGGCGAUGAAGGACGUGCUAAUCUGCGAAAAGCGUCGGUAAGGUGAUAUGAACCGUUAUAACCGGCGAUGUCCGAAUGGGGAAACCCAGUGCAAUUCGUUGCACUAUCGUUAACUGAAUACAUAGGUUAACGAGGCGAACCGGGGGAACUGAAACAUCUAAGUACCCCGAGGAAAAGAAAUCAACCGAGAUUCCCCCAGUAGCGGCGAGCGAACGGGGAGCAGCCCAGAGUCUGAAUCAGCUUGUGUGUUAGUGGAACGGUCUGGAAAGUCCGACGGUACAGGGUGAUAGUCCCGUACACCAAAAUGCACAGGUUGUGAACUCGAAGAGUAGGGCGGGACACGUGGUAUCCUGUCUGAAUAUGGGGGGACCAUCCUCCAAGGCUAAAUACUCCUGACUGACCGAUAGUGAACCAGUACCGUGAGGGAAAGGCGAAAAGAACCCCGGCGAGGGGAGUGAAAAAGAACCUGAAACCGUGUACGUACAAGCAGUGGGAGCACCUUCGGGUGUGACUGCGUACCUUUUGUAUAAUGGGUCAGCGACUUAUAUUCUGUAGCAAGGUUAACCGUAUAGGGGAGCCGCAGGGAAACCGAGUCUUAACUGGGCGUUAAGUUGCAGGGUAUAGACCCGAAACCCGGUGAUCUAGCCAUGGGCAGGUUGAAGGUUGGGUAACACUAACUGGAGGACCGAACCGACUAAUGUUGAAAAAUUAGCGGAUGACUUGUGGCUGGGGGUGAAAGGCCAAUCAAACCGGGAGAUAGCUGGUUCUCCCCGAAAGCUAUUUAGGUAGCGCCUCGUGAAUUCAUCUUCGGGGGUAGAGCACUGUUUCGGCUAGGGGGUCAUCCCGACUUACCAACCCGAUGCAAACUACGAAUACCGAAGAAUGUUAUCACGGGAGACACACGGCGGGUGCUAACGUCCGUCGUGAAGAGGGAAACAACCCAGACCGCCAGCUAAGGUCCCAAAGUCAUGGUUAAGUGGGAAACGAUGUGGGAAGGCACAGACAGCCAGGAUGUUGGCUUAGAAGCAGCCAUCAUUUAAAGAAAGCGUAAUAGCUCACUGGUCGAGUCGGCCUGCGCGGAAGAUGUAACGGGGCUAAACCAUGCACCGAAGCUGCGGCAGCGACACUAUGUGUUGUUGGGUAGGGGAGCGUUCUGUAAGCCUGCGAAGGUGGCCUGUGAGGGUUGCUGGAGGUAUCAGAAGUGCGAAUGCUGACAUAAGUAACGAUAAAGCGGGUGAAAAGCCCGCUCGCCGGAAGACCAAGGGUUCCUGUCCAACGUUAAUCGGGGCAGGGUGAGUCGACCCCUAAGGCGAGGCCGAAAGGCGUAGUCGAUGGGAAACAGGUUAAUAUUCCUGUACUUGGUGUUACUGCGAAGGGGGGACGGAGAAGGCUAUGUUAGCCGGGCGACGGUUGUCCCGGUUUAAGCAUGUAGGCUGGUUAUCCAGGCAAAUCCGGAUAAUCAAGGCUGAGGUGUGAUGACGAGGCACUACGGUGCUGAAGUAACAAAUGCCCUGCUUCCAGGAAAAGCCUCUAAGCAUCAGGUAACAUUAAAUCGUACCCCAAACCGACACAGGUGGUCAGGUAGAGAAUACCAAGGCGCUUGAGAGAACUCGGGUGAAGGAACUAGGCAAAAUGGUGCCGUAACUUCGGGAGAAGGCACGCUGGUGUGUAGGUGAAGUCCCUGCGGAUGGAGCUGAGACCAGUCGAAGAUACCAGCUGGCUGCAACUGUUUAUUAAAAACACAGCACUGUGCAAACACGAAAGUGGACGUAUACGGUGUGACGCCUGCCCGGUGCCGGAAGGUUAAUUGAUGGGGUUAUCCGUAAGGAGAAGCUCUUGAUCGAAGCCCCGGUAAACGGCGGCCGUAACUAUAACGGUCCUAAGGUAGCGAAAUUCCUUGUCGGGUAAGUUCCGACCUGCACGAAUGGCGUAAUGAUGGCCAGGCUGUCUCCACCCGAGACUCAGUGAAAUUGAACUCGCUGUGAAGAUGCAGUGUACCCGCGGCAAGACGGAAAGACCCCGUGAACCUUUACUAUAGCUUGACACUGAACAUUGAGCCUUGAUGUGUAGGAUAGGUGGGAGGCUUUGAAGCGUGGACGCCAGUCUGCGUGGAGCCAACCUUGAAAUACCACCCUUUAAUGUUUGAUGUUCUAACGUUGGCCCCUGACCGGGGUUGCGGACAGUGUCUGGUGGGUAGUUUGACUGGGGCGGUCUCCUCCCAAAGCGUAACGGAGGAGCACGAAGGUUAGCUAAUCCUGGUCGGACAUCAGGAGGUUAGUGCAAUGGCAUAAGCUAGCUUGACUGCGAGCGUGACGGCGCGAGCAGGUGCGAAAGCAGGUCAUAGUGAUCCGGUGGUUCUGAAUGGAAGGGCCAUCGCUCAACGGAUAAAAGGUACUCCGGGGAUAACAGGCUGAUACCGCCCAAGAGUUCAUAUCGACGGCGGUGUUUGGCACCUCGAUGUCGGCUCAUCACAUCCUGGGGCUGAAGUAGGUCCCAAGGGUAUGGCUGUUCGCCAUUUAAAGUGGUACGCGAGCUGGGUUUAGAACGUCGUGAGACAGUUCGGUCCCUAUCUGCCGUGGGCGCUGGAGAAUUGAGGGGGGCUGCUCCUAGUACGAGAGGACCGGAGUGGACGCAUCACUGGUGUUCGGGUUGUCAUGCCAAUGGCACUGCCCGGUAGCUAAAUGCGGAAGAGAUAAGUGCUGAAAGCAUCUAAGCACGAAACUUGCCCCGAGAUGAGUUCUCCCUGAGACUUUAAGUCUCCUGAAGGAACGUUGAAGACGAUGACGUUGAUAGGCCGGGUGUGUAAGCGCAGCGAUGCGUUGAGCUAACCGGUACUAAUGAACCGUGAGGCUUAACCUU